rnacentral:rRNA from 1 species
ACCAGACUCCUACGGGAGGCAGCAGUGAGGAAUAUUGGUCAAUGGGCGAGAGCCUGAACCAGCCAAGUCGCGUGAGGGAUGACUGCCCUAUGGGUUGUAAACCUCUUUUGUAUGGGGGGAAUAAGCUUUACGAGUAGAGUGAUGACAGUACCAUACGAAUAAGCAUCGGCUAACUACGUGCCAGCAGCCGCGGUAAUACGUAGGGGGCAAGCGUUAUCCGGAUUUACUGGGUGUAAAGGGAGCGUAGACGGCGAAGAAAGUCUGAAGUGAAAGCCCGCGGCUCAACCGCGGAAUGGCUUUGGAAACUUUUUUGCUGGAGUACCGGAGAGGUAAGCGGAAUUCCUAGUGUAGCGGUGAAAUGCGUAGAUAUUAGGAGGAACACCAGUGGCGAAGGCGGCUUACUGGACUGUAACUGACGUUGAGGCUCGAAAGCGUGGGGAGCAAACAGGAUUAGAUACCCUCGUA